rnacentral:tRNA from 1 species
AGCUCAGUGGCAGAGCACAUGCUUAACAUGCAUGAGGUCCUGGGUUCAAUCCCUAG